CUCUCUCACACACGUACAGGUGGACAUAUGAGGGAAGCGGGAGGAGCUUGGCAAUGUAGCAGGGGUGGUGAAAAGAGCCUUUUUUUCUAAUUGGUAGAAGAGAUUCUUUUUAUAAUUUCUAAAGCAGAAGAAUUAGAAAUGCUUGAGCUAGAUUAAUUUUUUUUAGGGUUUAAAUUUUGAAUCCUCAGUGAACCAGGAGAGAAAAGAAAAGAAUGAUGCAAUUGUCAAGAGUUUCAUUAAUGAUCCUAUGGCUUCAGUUAAACUGCGCACCAAGCCAACAGAAGGGAGUGGAGCAGCCUGGAUCCCUGAGUAUUCCAGAGGGAGCCAUAGCCUCUCUCAACUGUACAUAUGAGGACCGUAAUUCUCAGUACUUCAUGUGGUACAGACAGUAUUAUGGGAAAGGCCCUGAGUUUCUGAUAUCCGUAUACUCCAAGGACGAAAACAAGCAAGGAAGAUUUACAACACAGCUUAAUAAAGGCAGCCAGUAUGUCUUCUUGCUCAUUGCAGACUCCCAGCCCAGUGAUUCAGCCACCUACCUCUGUGCAGUAAGCACACAGUGCUCCCCAGCCACCUGCAGCCCAUACCCAAACCUGCAGCUGUGGCUCCAGGAAUGUCUGACAUAAAGCUUAGACUGUGAG